UAUGUUGUUAGUAUAAUUAGUAUGCUAUUUUUCCAAGAUGGUGGUCUAGUGUUUGUUUAGGCGACAUAG
rnacentral:tRNA from 1 species